rfam:Xenopus tropicalis strain Nigerian Chr01_contig_4642, whole genome shotgun sequence.
AUACUUACCUGGCAGGGGAGAUACCAUGAUCACGAAGGUGGUUCUCCCAGGGCGAGGCUCAUCCAUUGCACUCCGGCUGUGCUGACCCCUGCGAUUUCCCCAAAUGCGGGAAAGUCGACUGCAUAAUUUCUGGUAGUGGGGGACUGCGUUCGCGCUUUCCCCUG